UCUGACUUGGGGUGUACUGCAGG
rnacentral:piRNA from 1 species